rnacentral:rRNA from 1 species
GACGAACGCUGGCGGCGUGCUUAACACAUGCAAGUCGAACGAAGUGGCGAACGGGUGAGUAACGCGUAAUCAACCUGCCCUUCAGAGGGGGACAACAGUUGGAAACGACUGCUAAUACCGCAUACUGAAGGAGGGGAUUGCGUCUGAUUAGCUAGUUGGAGGGGUAACGGCCCACCAAGGCGAUGAACAGUAGCCGGGCUGAGAGGAUGACCGGCGACAUUGGGACUGAGGCCCGGCCCGGACUCCUACGGGAGGCAGCAGGGGGGAAUCGUCCGCAAUGGACGAAAGUCUGACGGAGCAACGCCGCGUGAGUGAUGACGGCCUUCGGGUUGUAAAGCUCUGUUAAUCGGGACGCGGUACCGGAAUAGAAAGCCACGGCGAACUACGUGCCAGCAGCCGCGGUAAUUC